AUUGAACGCUGGCGGCAGGCCUAACACAUGCAAGUCGAACGAGUGGCGCACGGGUGAGUAAUGUCUGGAACACUGCCUGGUAGAGGGGGAUCACUACUGGAAACGGUAGCUAAUACCGCAUCCCAUCGGAUGUGCCCCGAUGGGAUUAGCUAGUAGGUGGGUGAAAGGCUCACCUAGGCGCCGAUCCCUAGCUGGUCUGAGAGGAUGCCCAGCCACACUGGAACUGAGACACGGUCCAGACUCCGACGGGAGGCAGCAGUGGGGAAUAUUGCACAAUGGGCGCAAGCCUGAUGCAGCCAUACCGCGUGUAUGAAGAAGGCCUUCGGGUUGUAAAGUACUUUCAGCGGGGAGGCGUUACCCGCAGAAGAAGCACCGGCUAACUCCGUGCCAGCAGCCGCGGUAAUAC
rnacentral:rRNA from 1 species